UACGUAGGGUCCAAGCGUUAUCCGGAAUCACUGGGCGUAAAGCGUGCGUAGGUGGCGUGUUAAGUGUGAUGUUAAAUCGUGUGGCUCAACCAUAUCGAUGUGUCGCAUACUGGCAUGCUAGAGGGAAGCAGAGGCAAGUGGAAUUUGUAGUGUAGCAGUGAAAUGCGUAGAUAUUACAAGGAACACCAAUGGCGAAGGCAGCUUGCUGGGCUUAUUCUGACACUGAGGUACGAAAGCGUGGGGAGCGAACAGG
rnacentral:rRNA from 1 species